GACGAACGCUGGCGGCGUGCUUAACGCAUGCAAGUCGAACGGAAAGGCCCUGCUUGCAGGGUACUCGAGUGGCGAACGGGUGAGUAACACGUGGGUGAUCUGCCCUGCACUUCGGGAUAAGCCUGGGAAACUGGGUCUAAUACCGGAUAGGAGCCAUUUUUAGUGUGAUGGUUGGAAAGUUUUUUCGGUGUAGGAUGAGCUCGCGGCCUAUCAGCUUGUUGGUGGGGUAAUGGCCUACCAAGGCGGCGACGGGUAGCCGGCCUGAGAGGGUGGACGGCCACAUUGGGACUGAGAUACGGCCCAGACUCCUACGGGAGGCAGCAGUGGGGAAUAUGGCACAAUGGGCGCAAGCCUGAUGCAGCGACGCCGCGGGGGGGAUGACGGCCUUCGGGUUGUAAACUCCUUUCGCUAGGGACGAAGCUUUUUGUGACGGUACCUAGAGAAGAAGCACCGGCUAACUACGUG
rnacentral:rRNA from 1 species